GCACCACAACAGGUGGAGCCUGCGGUUUAAUCGGACUCAACGCCGGGAAACUCACCAGAUAAGACAGCUGAAUGAUAGUCGGGCUGAAGACUCUACUUGACUAGCUGAGAGGAGGUGCAUGGCCGUCGUCAGUUCGUACUGUGUAGCAUCCUGUUAAGUCAGGCAACGAGCGAGACCCACGCCAACAGUUGCCAGCUCGUCCUCCGGGAUGGUGGGGACACUGUUGGGACCGCCUCUGCUAAAGAGGAGGAAGGAAUGGGCAACGGUAGGUCAGCAUGCCCCGAAUUAUCUGGGCUACACGCGGGCUACAAUGGGUGGGACAAUGGGUAUCGACACCGAAAGGUGAAGGCAAUCUCCUAAACCCAUCCUUAGUUCGGAUUGUGGGCUGCAACUCGCCCACAUGAAGCUGGAAUCUGUAGUAAUCGUGUCUCAAAAUGGCACGGUGAAUACGUCCCUGCUCCUU
rnacentral:rRNA from 1 species